CGUUUUAGCCCAAAUAUCGAUCAAUGUAUCAAUGUAACACUCAGAUAUCUGCCACAGCCCAAAUACUGAAAGGAAAUUUUGGAACCCAAACCAAUCCGACCCAAGUUAUGUGCGUUUUGCUUUUGAAAUUCUCUACCGUUAAUUCAAUUCAAUUCUCUGGAAAAGAAAAUGGUGAUACCAACGACUAAAACCCUCCUUUUCAAUCCAAUACUUCAGUUGAAAACCCCUCUUGGAUUUUGCCCAAAAUUCGCAUCAAUCUCCGCUCGGUUGGACAAUUCCCAGAAACAAUUGAAUCUCUCUGUUCUUAGAUUCACUCUGGGUAUACCUGGGUUGGACGAAUCCUAUUUACCUAGAUGGAUCGGGUACGGGUUCGGUUCCUUUCUCAUUUUGAACCACUUGUUUGGAUCCGACUCCGUCACCGCGGCGCAGCUGAGGUCGGAGGGUUUAGGUAUUUCAUUGGCUGCGUUUUCCGUUACACUUCCUUACCUUGGUAAAUUUCUCAAGGGUGCAACUCCAAUAGAUCCAGCGACUCUGCCUGAAGGCGCUGAGCAAAUCUUUGUCAUGUCACAAAAUGUGUCGGUUGCUCAGAAGGAAGACUUGGCUUGGGCAACAUAUGUUUUAUUGCGAAAUACGAACACCACCUCCGUGUUGAUAUUAGCUCGAGGUGAAUUAUGUGUACGUGGAUAUUGGAAUGUGCCAGAUGGUGUACCAAAAGAUAAUGUACUGGAUUGGUUUAAAAGUAACAUAGAAGAAACUGGCCUGUCUGAUUUGAUGGACACCCUCUAUUUUCCUCAAACUGGAGAUGCUGAAUUCUGGAAGAUGCUUCCCCAGGGGACCCGUUCUGUCUUGGUACAGCCAGUGCUACUAGAUCCAAACCUAAGCAACAAUGAGAUGGGAAGCAUUGAAGGUUUUGUUCUGUUGGCUUCAAGCAUGAGAUAUGCAUAUAGCGAUAAAGAUAGAGCCUGGAUAAGAGCAGUUUCAAACAAACUUAGAAGAUGAAAAUGAUUCUCCACUGGAUUUUCCAAGAUCUGAGUUAUACUCCAAGGAAAAAUGAAGAAUAAUGGGAUCCUACAGAAAUUUCUCCAGGCCAUACACCAGAUGCUGCCGAAUUAGUAAAGACAACAUCUAUCUGACCAAGGUUAGACAGGUUGUUGGCAAUCUGGACGGCAUCGGGUGAGGGAAGAUCCUGUCAUCAAUGACAAGUUUAGCAUCUUCAACAGAUCAUUGACAAGUGGAAGGAAGCUGAAAUGGCAGCUUGCUGGAGGAGAAUAGAUCCUAUGGACAGAGUUGGUGCAACUAGGCAACCCUGAAAUAUUUCAUUAGAAACUAAUUGCAGCAAGUUAUUUGAUAGAGAUAAAAAAUUGUCUAAUAAUAAUAAGCACAAUUGUUCAAAGUACAAUAAAGUUUUUUAGAAAUUAUUGGACAUCAAAAUAUAUCUCACCCUGUCCUCACCAUGCUGGCUUUCUCACAGAAUGCAGAUAAUGCUGAUAUUGUGUCAAGCUUAAUUCGAGGCACAUAAACCACACUUUUCAGGCCAAAUGCUGUUGCCUAUGAGAAGUAUAAAGCGUGGGGAUCAGAAAAACUAUGAUCAGUUAUUCAAGUAUAACUUUUAGAAUAAUUGGUUUUUGGUGGUUACACAGAAUAUGGUUCAUCCUGGCUUAUUCACUGAGUCUAUAGAAGUAGGUUGAUAAAAGAAUAUAUCUAGAUGCGGAACCUGUUUAACAUUGUCGUAAACUGCUGAAGGCUCAGUAAAAUCAACAACAACUCCUGUCUCUUUGGACUGAUAGAACCCAAUGAAGACCAAAAGGUAAGGACUGAUGAAGGUUAGUAUAUGAAAUGAGAAGGAUAGUGGUAUGAGAAUGUUACCUGAGAUAUCGAACCUAACACCAUAGUGAGAUCAUUCAUUAUGGGGAUCUCUAGAGGCUCUUCCAUAUCACACACCUGAUUUAGAGAAUGAAACCAUUUCAAGUUGAAUAUAUAGGCCGGAGACUAUUUAGGGAUAAAAGCGCAUGAAGCAAGAAAGGAAUGAAUAACUUUAAACCUUUCCUAUAUCUUCUCCUAUAAAAUAGGAAUCCACUGCCCCAGCAACCUCCAUUCCUCUAGCUUUGGUCACAGCAACUACUGCAGCCCGUCCUAUUUCCUUUGCUGCUCCAUUGACAACAACCUGUUCCCCACAUGAGGAAGAAAGACGUUUCUAUAUGAGCUGUUUGAGCGGACGAGUUUUCUAUGAGGUUGUGAACCAUUACCUUAAUAUUGCUUUGAGAAGGUUGCACCGAGCAAGUGAAGGAAGGUCUAACUCUGGCAUUGCGAGGAAGUUGUUGGAUAGCACAAUGAAAAUGGCAGCUCAGGGCCGCCA